UCCUCCUCGUCGCUUGGCGCUUCCAGAAAAACCCCCGAGGCGUCUCGUCUCGUCUCCGCCCGACACACCUUGAACCCUCGCGAGUCGCGACGACUGGAAAAGCAGGCAAGCGCAAUCCCACAGCUCGGCAGCUCCUCCUCACCGUCGCCGCCGAUUUAGAUGGAGAUGGAGGCGGCGGCGGCGGCGGCCUCCGACGAAACCCUAGCCGCCGUCUUCGCCCAGCUCAAGCCCCACACCGUCGCUCUCCUCGACCUCCUCCGCAGCCGCCGGGCCGCCUCCAGCUCCGCCUCCUCCCUCCGCGAAAUGGCCGCCUUCCUCCGCUCCGCCCCCGCCCCCGCACUGCAGCUCUGCUUCGACUAUACAGUGUUUCCACUGCUGAUGCUCCUGGAUGCGGCGGUGCAGUGCAGGAAGCAAGGCAAUGCACCGGGGCAGGGUGCUGGGGACAUUGGCAUCGCUGAUGCCGUCGCCGAAGCUGGGCUGGCCUGCCUUGAAGUGCUCCUAACCAAGUGCCGCCUCACCUCAGUCAAUCAGAUGGUUGCAAUGCUGAAAAAGUUGACUUCUGGGGCCAUGCUUUUGCCUUUGGAGGCUUCAGAGGAGUUCCGCAUUGGAAUCAUAAGAUGCUUCAGAGCCAUGGUUUUGCAGUUACAACCAUGCUUGGAGCGGUCCUGUUCUUGCAAGCAAGCAACAGUGUUGCCUACGUCCUCAACCAAUACAAGCUUGGAGGCCAGGAGUGUAGUUCACUCAAAGCUCCCUGCACAGCCAGAAGAGUGCCUGCUUGCAUUCCUUCAGUCACAAAAUGCUUCAGCUGCCGUUGGACACUGGCUCUCACUUCUUCUACAGGCAUCAGAACUUGAGGCAUCAAGAGGGCACCGUGGAAGUGCAGAUGUUAGAAAGGAAGCAUUACACGCUCUCCGUAUUCUUAUUGCCAAGGUAGGUUCUGCUGAUGCACUUGCCUUUUUCCUUCCUGGAAUUGUCAGUCGCCUCGGAAAGGUUCUCUACAGAUCGAAGACUAUGAUUAGCGGUGCUGCUGGGAGUUCUUUGAGCAUUGAACAAGCCAUUCUUGGAUUGACAGAGGCUUUGAUGAUAGUCCUAAAUGACAAGGAAAAUUUUAGUGCCCUUGAUAUGGCUAUAAAUGAGGAUUGGGCCCAUUCUUCUGGUGGUGAUGGUUCAACUGAGCAUGUAUUGCAGAUGCUUCGCCAAUUACCAACCAAAAGUCUAUCUGAACAGAUAGGUCAUGAUGAAACUACAGAUGACUCUACCUCCGAUGCCAAUAAUCCCUCUGCUGAUAGAAAGGCACUACAUGUAAAGCGGACCAAAAAAUGGCUUGAGGAAACAACUAGUAAUGUUGAUAAAUUGCUUUCUGCCACAUUCCCACAUCUUUCUAUUCAUUCAUCUGAGAAGGUGAGGAGGUCGGUGGUUAGUGGUGUGAGGGGGCUUUUGUCUAGCUGCGGCUCUACAUUAAAGCGAAGCAAGAUGCUACUUGUGGAAUGCUUAUGUGUUCUUGCAUGUGAUGAUGCCGCCGCUGUGUCUGAGGCUGCACAAGAUGCUCUCCUUUAUCUUUUCAACCAGGGUCACAAUUUUAUUACAGAAAAUGAGAUUUCUGAUAUUUUUACCAGGCUAGUUGAAAGGUUGCCACAAGUGGUACUUGGAAGUGAGGAGACAACUGCAUUGUCACAUGCUAAGAGGCUGUUGGCUCUGACAUUUUAUGCAGGACCUCAGUUUCUGAUAAAUCAUCUUCACCAUUCUCCUGUUAUCGCUACUCGUUUCUUUGAUUGUUUGGGUCUAUGCAUAAGUCAUAGUUCGCAGUUUUCUGGUUCAAUGGACAAGUUAAUCGUAUCAAAGCCACUGUCUGUUGGUUACCUCUAUUCAGUUGCUGAGUUGAAGGGUGGUGCCUAUUCUAAAGAUAUGACUAAUAGUUCUCUGCAGGCCACGUAUACGCCGGCAGCCUCCAAAAUAUCUGUUAUCCAUGAUAACGGUUUGUCGAAUGCAAUACUUGGUACUGUUGAAUAUGAGUUGCCCCAUGUGCCUCCAUGGUUUGUGCAUGCUGGCAGUCAGAAACUUUACUUGGUUCUUGCUGGAAUAAUUAGACUUGUUGGCCUAUCAACAGUGUCAGGGAAAGAAACUGCUGCAUCCUUAUCUCCUUUUGUUGAUAUUCUACUCGAUCACUUCAGGAGGUUGAGCACUGUGGUGCGAUCCAAAAAUAUUUACAGAGAUGGCCAUAGGUGGUACAUGAAUGGUGAAGCUGGACAUACACUACGCCAGGCAAGUUCAGCUGUUUGCAUGCUCAAUGAGCUCAUAUAUGGUUUGUCAGAUAGAUCUCUUGGUAUGUUUUUGCAACUGUUCCAGAAGAGAUCAGCACAGAUGGUAAGGACAGCUUGUCAGAAUGAUCAAUUGAUCGCUUCUGUUAAACAUAAUGGAGUUACUAAUGAAAGAGAAGUCUGGGGAUGUAAUGAACAAAAGGGUACUAAAGACAAUAUUAUUCAUUGUAUCGGCAGUAUUCUGCAUGAAUAUAUAUGUCCAGAAGUGUGGGAUCUUCCAACAGAAAAGGAUGUUGAGCUAUGCCUAACAGAGUUGAACCUGCCAUUGCACUUCUACCGUGAUACCACUGCUUUGCACACGGUGACGCUUGAAGGAAUUGGAGUCUUGGGUGCUGUUCUUGGUCAAGAUUUCGCACGUAGUGGGUUUAUGCACUCUUCCCUUUAUCUUCUGCUCCGUGAACUUAUCAGCUCAAGUGCUCAGAUAAGAAUUGCAUCAGAUGCUGUCUUAAGAGCGCUUGCUGCUGCUGGCGGUCAUUGUUCGGUUGGCCAAUUUGUUGUCGCGAAUGCAGAUUACAUUGUUGACUCUCUUUGUAGACAGCUACGUCACUUGGACAUGAAUCCCCAUGUCCCUGAUGUUCUUGCUUCCAUGCUGUGUUACAUUGGUGCUUCUCAUGAUAUUUUACCAUUCUUGGAAGAACCGAUGCGAGCAGUUUCUUCUGAGCUGGAGGUACUUGGCAGGCAUGACCACCCACAUCUAACUGUUCCAUUUCUGAAGGCGGUUUCUGAGAUUGCCAAGGCAUGCAAACAUGAAUCUACUAGUUUGCCAGAUGACGCCCAAUCAUUUUAUUUGAAGGUCAGUUCAGAAGGCCAAGAAGUCAAAAAUAUGAUCGAGAAGAGAAUGGAAUCCAGUGCAACAUCUGAAAGAAUGAAUGCUGAUGCUCAACUUGAUUUUAUGAGCUUGGAAUAUUGGGAGGACUUACUUUGUAAGUUAAAUGAGAUGAGAAGAUAUAGGAGAAUAGUUGGAUCACUUACAGGUUCUUGCUUAUCAGCUGCCACCCCACUUCUCUCUUCAACUAAGGAAACAGCUUGUCUUGUGGCCCUUGAUGUUGUGGAGAAUGCUAUUAUAUCUAUCACCAAGGUUGAGGAGGCUUACAAGUGUGAAAAUCAAAGUAAAGGAAUUAUUGAGGAGUCCAUCCAGUUUCUGUCAUUUGAUGAACUUCUUGAUGGUACAGAUGCCAGCGAAGAUGCUGAUGAGAAUCGAUUGCUCCCAGCUAUGAACAAACUAUGGCCUUACUUGAUUAUCUGUCUAAGGAACAAGAUAUCAGUGCCGGUUGUUAGAAAGUGCACUGAAGUAUUGAGUAGAGCAAUUAGUAUGUCUGGUGGUGAUUUUUAUGUACGCCGCUUUCAUAAGGAUGGACAUAUUGUUUGGAGGUUGCUGGCAUUAUCUCCAUUCCGACGAAAAAGAAUGUCAAUGAUGGAUGAAAAAGCAAUCAUUUUACCAUAUAGGGAUACCUCACUUACCUCAGAGGAACCCAUGGCUGAGAUCUCCAGUCAAAAAAUUCAGAUUGCGGUCCUGGACAUGAUCGCCACAAUAUCUUCCAGCAAAAGAAGUGCUAUUGCAUUAGAAAGUGUACUAAAGAAGGUUUGUGGCCUUGUGGUUGGUAUCGCCUACAGUAGUUUGACAGGUUUGCAAGAAGCUGCUAUAAGGGCAUUGGCAGGCCUUGCCUGUAUGGAUGCUGACCUUGUCUGGCUUCUCUUGGCGGAUGUUUAUUACUCACUAAACCAAAGGGAUAUACCUUUACCGCCCAACCAAGAUGUGGCAGAGAUAUCAGAUCUUUUGCCCCCACCAAUGUCUGCGAGAGAAUACCUCUUUGUACAGUACGGAGGCGAUGGUGUGAGAUGUGAUGUAGACCCGUCAUCUGUUCACGAGGUGUUCAAAAGGAUGCAGGAUGUGGUCCUAACAUGAAAAUCAGGUUGAUCUCCCUGUAUAAAAACCUUGCCGAUGGGAUUUUGUGUCACUGCUGGCUAGCCCGCCAGUGUCACAUAUUUUGCCUGUACUGGAAAAUGGAACAAUGAUGAAGGAUGAGCUGGAGUUGCCAGGGAACAUCUUUGUGGUGUCGCAAUUGGAUAUGUCAUUGGCAUUAUGCUUUGUUGCUAGAAUCAGUGAAGAGUGCGAUCUGUUUCUAUCAAGCAAUUGCACUUGGCAUGUGUGACUGUAUGCCAUGGACAUUGUUCUCCAUGAUGUUGUGAGCAAGGAGCAGCAACCGCUUGGAGGGGUCAUCAAGCAAAUUACAACACAAGCAAAGUACAGGAUGGUUUUCUGAUGGGGUGCAUGUGUAAUUAUAUCGAGCAAACGUGUAUCACAUGGUGGAGUUUAGUCGUGUGAAAAGAAAGGUAGAUGAUGUAUAAACCAUCUCUGAGUUGAUUGCUCCCUUUUCUGAAGCGUUUUUUUAUUCUGGGUCUGGGAUAUUCAUGUCUAAUGCCCGUCAAAAUUCGUUGGUAAACAUCUUGCUAGCCCUUUCUAAUCUGUAAAACAAAAGGUGAACACCUCGCUUCAGUCCCGUAUAGAUCACGGAUAUUCCUUUUGUUGACA